UUCAAGGACUAAAAGAGACACUUUUCCACUUAAUAUCAUCACCUACACAAUGAAUAUUCAUUCAUUUAAAAACCUAUUUGCAGCAAAUGGAAAAAAAAUUCGUAACUCUCUUCACCAUUUCCUCCCAAAUCUUCAAAAUACCAUAUUUCCUUCAUUUCAAGUCCGAAUUGAGCGAUUCUUGCGGCCACGGAACGAGAAAAUGAUUUUCUACAGAUCUAUGGCUUCAAUUUGAGGUGUUUAUAAGCUUGAAUUGGAUGCAAAUUUAUGAUGGAGCUAAGAUUUUCAAGGUGAAAGUGAGCUUUAAUGGAGGAUUGUUGGUGAGGAAUUGAAGCUUGGAAGCUUCGGCCAUGGAGUAUCUUUAAGAUCGGACGAGCGACUAUCGACGAGGCUUGAGAAAAAAAAAACGGAUCGAGAUAUCGUCAUGCUUAUUUGAAGAGUUUGGAUAGCAAGUGGUGAGUACACUUUAAAUUACUCGCUAAUAUUCGUAAAGCUACGUAUUUCAAUACGAAAGCUAUAUGAAUAUUUUUAUGUUUAAAUGUAUGUUCUUAAAAUGCAUAUAUAUGUAUGUUUUGAAAAUGAUGUUUUAUUGUAUUGUGCUAUUUU